rnacentral:rRNA from 1 species
ACGAACGCUGGCGGCGUGCUUAACACCUGCCCGUCGAACUAUGAUCUCCCGCUUGCGGGGGUGAUUAGUGGCGAACGGGUGAGUAAUACGUGAGUAACCUGCCCUUGACUCUGGGAUAAGCCUGGGAAACCGGGUCUAAUACUGGAUACUACUUCCUGCCGCAUGGUGGGGGGUGGAAAGGGUUUUACUGGUUUUGGAUGGGCUCACGGCCUAUCAGCUUGUUGGUGGAGUAAUGGCUCACCAAGGCGACGACGGGUAGCCGGCCUGAGAGGGUGACCGGCCACACUGGGACUGAGACACGGCCCAGACUCCUACGGGAGGCAGCAGUGGGGAAUAUUGCACAAUGGGCGGAAGCCUGAUGCAGCGACGCCGCGUGAGGGAUGACGGCCUUCGGGUUGUAAACCUCUUUCAGCAGGGAAGAAGCCACAAGUGACGGUACCUGCAGAAGAAGCGCCGGCUAACUACGUG